rnacentral:rRNA from 1 species
GACGAACGCUGGCGGCGUGCUUAACACAUGCAAGUCGAACGGAAAGGCCCUGCUUUUGUGGGGUGCUCGAGUGGCGAACGGGUGAGUAACACGUGAGUAACCUGCCCUUGACUUUGGGAUAACUUCAGGAAACUGGGGCUAAUACCGGAUAGGAGCUCCUGCUGCAUGGUGGGGGUUGGAAAGUUUCGGCGGUUGGGGAUGGACUCGCGGCUUAUCAGCUUGUUGGUGGGGUAGUGGCUUACCAAGGCUUUGACGGGUAGCCGGCCUGAGAGGGUGACCGGCCGCAUUGGGACUGAGGUACGGCCCAGACUCCUACGGGAGGCAGCAGUGGGGAAUAUUGCACAAUGGGCGGAAGCCUGAUGAAGCAACGCCGCGGGCGGGAUGACGGCCUUCGGGUUGUAAACCGCUUUCGCCUGUGACGAAGCGUGAGUGACGGUAAUGGGUAAAGAAGCACCGGCUAACUACGUG